rnacentral:rRNA from 1 species
CAGCCGCCGCGGGAAUACAGAGGGUGCGAGCGUUAAUCGGAUUUACUGGGCGUAAAGCGUGCGUAGGCGGCUUCUUAAGUCGGAUGUGUAAUCCCUGAGCUUAACUUAGGAAUUGCAUUCGAUACUGGGAAGCUAGAGUAUGGGAGAGGAUGGUAGAAUUCCAGGUGUAGCGGUGAAAUGCGUAGAGAUCUGGAGGAAUACCGAUGGCGAAGGCAGCCAUCUGGCCUAAUACUGACGCUGAGGUACGAAAGCAUGGGGAGCAAACAGGAUUAGAUACCCGCGUAGUCCCUGUCUCUUAUAC